rnacentral:lncRNA from 1 species
GCUGCUGUACAACGCGCCGUAUACACGGUCAAUCAUGCAUCAACCAGAAGCAUUACCCCACACCGUACCCCAGCGGCCCAGCCCACAUUUGCAUCAACGGCCGGCGUUCCUCCUUUGACAGAGGCAACAGACCACACACCAGCCCAGCUGCAACGCCAGCUCUGGGGCGCAAACAGUGCAGCAGGCUACCACUUUGCAUUGCAAACACUUACAUUAUUAGGAAACUAACAUGCUCAAGUAGCUAGCAAUAUAUAGCACGCCACACGUACGCCCAUGUUGUACGUAUUAGCCCAAGAUGCCUCCAUCGGCCCGGACACGGACAGAGAUGGUGUAUGAAUAUUUCUUUUUCCCCAUAGUAUACAUAUUUCGUCGGCGCCACAAACGUAG